CUUAAAUUCAUUGAUUCAAUCACACAUGAUAUAUCGCCGUCUUCAAUGCUUAAUUUCGUCUCUAUAGACGGUGGUGGCUCCAUAUAAAUAUAUCGUGUCCUUCACAGAGGCCAUUGUAUCUGCUCCAAAACCAAAAUCGAUCAAUCAAGCAUAGAAAUUCGAUAAGAUGCGAGAUCGGAUGAUGCAAAGUAGCUUACACUUAGGGGCAGGUGAAGGAGAGACGUAGGGAUUGAACUUCGGCGGCAUGGUGGUCGGUGCAUCGCAGGAGAUGGGAGGCAGAGGAGGAGUGACGCCGUUGGGUUCAAGCCUGGGGUAACGAGCGUAGUCAGAGGAGUGAGGAGCUAUGGGGUCCGACGCGGCGGAAGUUGAGAUCCGGCUGCCAUCGUGAUUCUCUUGCCUACUCAUGCUUUGAUUCUUUUUUUUCUUCGCGAUUCUCUCUUCUCCUUCUUUCAAUACGCUCUCCCUAUAUUAAUUAAUCGUGGCUUGACCAAAAAAUUUUUAUUUUCUUUUGGUUAAGUAAUGAGAAACACGGUCCGAAAUUAGCAAACUACGAAUGAAUUAAAAGUGUCAGUCGGUGUUACGUUGGCAUUAUUAAUAAAUGUCGGACUAUAU